UAGUACUAUUUACAUGUGGCAAUGUCAAUACUUUAAAAGGUAUGAUAUUUUUUAUCAACAUGGCAGCCCCACCAUAUCCGUCAGGUCUGUCAUCUCGUACACAAUAAUAACCUGGAAUACGAAACGCAAAAUAUGGUCGUAACUCGUAACCAAGUUUCAGAAAGGGCAAUAACUAUUGGGUUAUAUUUAUUUAUUAAGUAAAUCAAAUCAGUUUUUUUAAGUCAACAUAUGCACAGCCGUUUUUAGAUGAUGGAAUUUGAUAUUCUCUGAUAAUACUGUUAUGAAAAUUUUUGUCAUACCCCUUACCAGUUGGAAUUUGUGGAGUACGCUUUGAAUAAAAAGUUUUUUUAUAAGAUCGAA